GGCCGGAUAGCUCACUCGGUUAAAGCACCGCAUUGCGGUUACGGCGCGGGUUCGAGCCCCGGUCGUACCA